CCUACGGGAGACAGCAGUGAGGAAUAUUGGUCAAUGGACGAGAGUCUGAACCAGCCAAGUAGCGUGAAGGAUGACUGCCCUAUGGGUUGUAAACUUCUUUUAUAAAGGAAUAAAACGAGGCACGUGUGCCUUUUUGCAUGUACUUUAUGAAUAAGGAUCGGCUAACUCCGUGCCAGCAGCCGCGGUAAUACGGAGGAUCCGAGCGUUAUCCGGAUUUAUUGGGUUUAAAGGGAGCGUAGAUGGGUUGUUAAGUCAGUUGUGAAAGUUUGCGGCUCAACCGUAAAAUUGCAAUUGAUACUGGCAGUCUUGAGUACAGUUGAGGUAGGCGGAAUUCGUGGUGUAGCGGUGAAAUGCUUAGAUAUCACGAAGAACCCCGAUUGCGAAGGCAGCUUACCAACCUGUGACUGACAUUGAUGCUCGAAAGUGUGGGUAUCAAACAGGAUUAGAUACCCUGGUAGUC
rnacentral:rRNA from 1 species